UUCGUAUUUUCGUGUCGAUGCUAGUUGGUUUUUUUUUCUGAAGUUUUUUCAUCGAGCAGCAGCGGCUACAAUCCACAUCAAUAUUUUCAUAAACGAACACGGAGGAUAAAUGCGAGAAUGCCGCAAAACAGUGAAAUGGACGCUGUAAGGAAAACCCUUUGGCUGCAGCAGUAAAUCGAGCAUGACUUGGAGCAGUGAAUCAACCAACAGAGAUGUAUCCGCUGCUCAAAACCUUCGUUCCAAAACCUGCAUGCAGAUUCGCUAGAGGAAUCGUCGAAAGCAUAUCUGGGGUUAAAACUUACCCAUGUCGGUGUGAUAAAUAAAAAAAGCCUAGCUGUGAACAUAAAUUGUGCUGUACAAAAUGUGA